rnacentral:rRNA from 1 species
CCAAUAGCGUAUAUUAAAGUUGUUGCAGUUAAAAAGCUCGUAGUUGAAUUUCGGGGUCAGUAGAUUGGUCGUGCCACUGGUAUGUACUGGUCUCACUGGCUCCUCCUUCCUGAUGAACCGUAAUGCCAUUAAUUUGGUGUUGCGGGGAGACUGGACUGUUACUUUGAAAAAAUUAGAGUGUUUAAAGCAGGCUAACGCUUGAAUACAUUAGCAUGGAAUAAUGAAAUAGGACGUUCGAUCUUAUUUUGUUGGUUUCUAAGAUUGACGUAAUGAUUAAUAGGGAUAGUUGGGGGCAUUAGUAUUCAAUUGUCAGAGGUGAAAUUCUUGGAUUUAUUGAAGACUAACUACUGCGAAAGCAUUUGCCAAGGAUGUUUUCAUUAAUCAAGAACGAAAGUUAGGGGAUCGAAGACGAUCAGAUACCGUCGUAGUCUUAACCAUAAACUAUGCCGACUAGGGAUCGGAUGAUGUUAAUUUUUUAAUGACUCAUUCGGCGCCUUAC